rnacentral:tRNA from 1 species
GCCAGCGUGAUGAAAUUGGUAGACAUAGGGGAUUCAAAAUCCCCCGUUCGAAAGGACGUGGCGGUUCGAGUCCGCCCGCUGGUACCA